CCCCCCCACCCCGGCCCCGAGCCGGAGGUUGUUUAUUUGCAAACAACAGGGUUGGCACUGCCCACUGUUCUCCAGCUUCCCUCCCGGGGCCAACAGAGCCUAUCUGUGUGCCCGCCCCGCCCCUGGUCAGGGCUCCAUCUCUGGCCUCCACGAGGGCCUGUGCCUGUGAAAAUCCCCCCACUCUUCCCAGCUUGGAUGCAAUCUGAGCAGACUCUGCUCCGGACUGAUGGAGCGGUCGCUGGCAGUUUGGGAAGACACGUAGCAGGGGGGACACCCAGCUCUGGGGAGAGCCAGCCACGUGAAUCCCUACGGUCAAUAUUACUGAAGCAUCAGAUGUGAGGCAUUAUAAUAUAGUGGUGAAAAACAUGGCACUGGUGUUUGAAACCUGGCUUCCUAGCUGUGUGACCUCUGGUAAGUCACUUAACCUCUCUGUGCUUCAAUUCUGCCUCUAUAAAAUGGAGGCCAUAGCACCAUCUCUGUCACAGUGUUGCUUAGUAACGUGGUAGGUACUUCUCACUGUGACUAG
ensembl:lncRNA